AACUCUUCGGAGGGAAGGCAGCGGAAUGAGCGGCGGACGGGUGAGUAACACGUAAGGAACCUGCCUCAAGGAUUGGGAUAACUCCGAGAAAUCGGAGCUAAUACCGGAUAGUUCAACGGACCGCAUGGUCCGCUGAUGAAAGGCGCUUCGGCGUCACCUUGAGAUGGCCUUGCGGUGCAUUAGCUAGUUGGUGGGGUAACGGCCCACCAAGGCGACGAUGCAUAGCCGACCUGAGAGGGUGAUCGGCCACACUGGGACUGAGACACGGCCCAGACUCCUACGGGAGGCAGCAGUAGGGAAUCUUCCACAAUGGACGAAAGUCUGAUGGAGCAACGCCGCGUGAGUGAUGAAGGUUUUCGGAUCGUAAAACUCUGUUGUAAGGGAAGAACACGUACGAGAGGUAAUGCUCGUACCUUGACGGUACCUUACGAGAAAGCCACGGCUAACUACGUGCCAGCAGCCGCGGUAAUACGUAGGUGGCAAGCGUUGUCCGGAAUUAUUGGGCGUAAAGCGCGCGCAGGCGGCCUUUUAAGUCUGAUGUGAAAGCCCCCGGCUCAACCGGGGAGGGCCAUUGGAAACUGGAAGGCUUGAGUACAGAAGAGAAGAGUGGAAUUCCACGUGUAGCGGUGAAAUGCGUAGAGAUGUGGAGGAACACCAGUGGCGAAGGCGACUCUUUGGUCUGUAACUGACGCUGAGGCGC
rnacentral:rRNA from 1 species